UGGACGCUUGCUAAGUGUGGAUUGAUUUGGA
rnacentral:piRNA from 1 species